CAGCAGCCGCGGGAAUACGGAGGGUGCAAGCGUUAAUCGGAAUUACUGGGCGUAAAGCGCACGCAGGCGGUCUGUCAAGUCGGAUGUGAAAUCCCCGGGCUCAACCUGGGAACUGCAUUCGAAACUGGCAGGCUAGAGUCUUGUAGAGGGGGGUAGAAUUCCAGGUGUAGCGGUGAAAUGCGUAGAGAUCUGGAGGAAUACCGGUGGCGAAGGCGGCCCCCUGGACAAAGACUGACGCUCAUGCACGAAAGCGUGGGGAGCAAACAGGAUUAGAUACCCCAGUAGUCCCUGUCUCUUAUAC
rnacentral:rRNA from 1 species